rnacentral:lncRNA from 10 species
GAGUUUGGAGGGUGCCGGUCAGCGGAGCCGUGCGAUGUAUUUGAAAAGCAAUCAGUCCGACCUUCCCCCAUAGAUUCAUCCUGACAUCAGGGGAGCAACGUGAACACAGGAAAAUGGAAAUCAACAUUUGAAACUUUUAAAUGGAAGCUUUAUUGGGGUUCCACAUAUGGAAAACUGCAAAUAGCAGAAGUAUGUGACUCAAUAAAUUAUUCUGGAGUGACCACAUCCUCUAACUGCCUCCCAGGACAAGACGGAGAAUGUGAACAAUGCUCCUGAAGGCCCCUUUCCCUCAAAGAAUCACUGCAAUUGAAGGAAAAAUGCUCCAUGUCCCCUCUGCCAGUUGGUGUUUAUCAAAGGACAACGGAGGAAGAGAGACAAAGUGCCUGGAUGUGUGUGUUAAUCAAGAGUUGUCAGGACCCUGCCUCUAAAAGAAAGCGCUAAAAUGAUGCUUUUGACAAGACUUUUCUCAAAGUGGAUGCAGUCUAAGGGUUGGAAAACAAGGCCCAAUCAGGCUAGGUCUGACUUGUCGCCUGCUUUUGUAAAUAAAGUUUUAUUGGCUCACAGACACACU